rnacentral:rRNA from 1 species
AAAACGACUCUCGGCAACGGAUAUCUCGGCUCUCGCAUCGAUGAAGAACGUAGCGAAAUGCGAUACUUGGUGUGAAUUGCAGAAUCCCGUGAACCAUCUAGUCUUUGAACGCAAGUUGCGCCCGAAGCCAUUAGGCCGAGGGCACGCCUGCCUGGGCGUCACAC